rnacentral:rRNA from 1 species
AUUGAACGCUGGCGGCAGGCUUAACACAUGCAAGUCGAGCGGGGUGAUGGUGCUUGCACUAUCACUUAGCGGCGGACGGGUGAGUAAUGCUUAGGAAUCUGCCUAUUAGUGGGGGACAACAUCUCGAAAGGGAUGCUAAUACCGCAUACGUCCUACGGGAGAAAGCAGGGGAUCACUUGUGACGUUGCGCUAAUAGAUGAGCCUAGGUCGGAUUAGCUAGUUGGUGGGGUAAAGGCCUACCAUGGCGGCGAUCUGUAGCGGGUCUGAGAGGAUGAUCCGCCACACUGGGACUGAGACACGGCCCAGACUCCUACGGGAGGCAGCAGUGGGGAAUAUUGGACAAUGGGGGGAACCCUGAUCCAGCCAUGCCGCGUGUGUGAAGAAGGCCUUAUGGUUGUAAAGCACUUUAAGCGAGGAGGAGGCUCUUUUGGUUAAUACCCAAGAUGAGUGGACGUUACUCGCAGAAUAAGCACCGGCUAACUCUGUGCCAGCCGCCGCCGUAA